GACGAACCGUGCGAACGUUGUUCGGAUUCACUGGGCUUAAAGGGCGCGUAGGCGGGCCAUCAAGUCAGGGGUGAAAUCUUUCGGCUCAACCGGAAAAGUGCCUUUGAUACUGGCGGUCUGGAGGGAGGUAGGGGCGUGCGGAACUAACGGUGGAGCGGUGAAAUGCGUUGAUAUCGUUAGGAACUCCGGUGGCGAAGGCGGCACGCUAGACCUCUUCUGACGCUGAGGCACGAAAGCCAGGGGAGCGAACGGG
rnacentral:rRNA from 1 species